rnacentral:rRNA from 1 species
GAUGAACGCUGGCGGCGUGCCUAAUACAUGCCAGUCGAGCGAACAGACGAGGAGCUUGCUCCCCUGACGUUAGCGGCGGACGGGUGAGUAACACGUGGAUAACCUACCUAUAAGACUGGGAUAACUUCGGGAAACCGGAGCUAAUACCGGAUAAUAUAUUGAACCGCAUGGUUCAAUAGUGAAAGACGGUUUUGCUGUCACUUAUAGAUGGAUCCGCGCCGCAUUAGCUAGUUGGUAAGGUAACGGCUUACCAAGGCAACGAUGCGUAGCCGACCUGAGAGGGUGAUCGGCCACACUGGAACUGAGACACGGUCCAGACUCCUACGGGAGGCAGCAGUAGGGAAUCUUCCGCAAGGGGCGAAAGCCUGACGGAGCAACGCCGCGUGAGUGAUGAAGGUCUUCGGAUCGUAAAACUCUGUUAUUAGGGAAGAACAAAUGUGUAAGUAACUAUGCACGUCUUGACGGUACCUAAACAGAAAGCCACGGCUAACUACGUG